AAAACGCGUAUCGGUUUCAAAUGUAUCUGAACAUACGAUUUUUGUACAUGUAUGUGUGUGUGUGUGUGUUUUUCGAACGAAUUUUCCACCGGAUAUCUUGUUCUUGAUCAUCAUCGAGCGGCGUAUCUAUAAAAGAAAAUGUUUUCUCGUGUGGUACGCAUAUAGAAGGAGCCAUUCGAUUUUCCGUGUCUAGUUCUUUUAACAAUCGCAAAUGCAAUUUCCACAGAAUAAUUAACGUAUUAGCGGUCACGUCUAUACGUGGUCAAAUGCGCGAAACAUUCUACCCGGAAUUUUAUGAACUAUUUAUUUGCGUUUGAAAUGUCGAGUUUUUUGUUUCGUUUCUAUUUAAUUUUAUGUGAAUACAAUUUUUUUUAGCCCGGCCAAAACGCUAAAGAAUUUAACACAAGGUCAAGUUGUAAACUUCUACGAAAAUCAUGAAAAUCACUACCGCAUUUCAAAACACACGUUUAACCGAACUUCGUUCAGAGUUGUAAUGACUUAACGUCGUCUAUACAGGUAUUAGUGAAAUAAAACGCCACGCGGUAUCCUGUACCUUCCCGACUUUCUUUUAUGUUUAUUAUCGUCAUUCCUUUUUUCAACGGAAGGUACCCAUACGGAAAAUAAAAACACUGUAUCAAACAUCUAAAGACGUCCGGAUGACGCACGGCCAAGUGUUCAUUAAACGACGACGGUGCACGUAAGUGUUGAUAGCCCCUCAUUUUUUAUUCUAACGGUGAUCGAUGGACAGCCGAUCUCGGGCGCUGGCGACGUUUUAUUGGAAUAAAUU